GGAGCAGCGCAAGCUGCUGCUGCCACUCAACCCAGAGCGAUGCUUUGGUUCAUGAACGUCCUAAACGUCGAAGAGGAAACUUUAAACCGCAGCAAACCUCUACAAAACGUAAAACACCCCGGUUUUCACAUGUCCAUCAAUGCUCAAUGACCAGUGAAGAACUGGAGCUGCUAAAGACUGGUGAAGUAUUCCCAGUAACAGGCUUCAAGAAAAAAGACAGCUGCAGUCAAGAUGGCUGACGCCCUCGUGCUUGUGCAACUAAAGGCCAACAGAAAUACAGCCAAGCGCCAGUUCUCCCGUCUGGCCAACAAUGUGCAAAGAAUGUACACGGUGAUGUCCGAAGAGGAACUCAAAGACAGUUUUAAAACACUAACAAUAGAAGCCAAUAAAGUUUUUGAAGCCAAUGACGAUGUGGAAGACCAGUAUGCUGCAGAAUCACAACUAGAGGGAGGCACGCUUACAGAGGAGCAGAGGGCAGAUUUGGAGAAGACAAAAAGUGAGUGUGAAAAUAGACUAGAUGAACUGAAAGGGAUAAUUCUGACAACUCUCUGGGCUAAAUAUGGAGAAGAGGAGUUAAAAAUGGUAGUAGAAACAGCAGAGUCAGAGGCAGUGCGAGUUGGAGCUAUUGAACCCAAUGAAGAUGAAGAAGGCUAUGAUUUCAUGGUAAAGCACCUGGGGAUGCUGGUCGGAAGAGCCAAAACUCUCCACACACAGUGGAAGAGCUGGGCCCCUUCUACAGACCAGAAGGACCUACAGUCUCGUGUGAGUGAUCUGGAACGAGCACUUCUGAAGGUAACUGCUAGAAAAGUGCAGUUCAUUCAAGUCAGGGUCAAAGACAGACUGAACCCGACCACCUUUGACUUCAGUGCAACACCAGCCAUAAAACUGAACACAUCCUUACUUCCCAAGUUUCUUGGCAGCAAAUGUGACUUCUACCACUGGAAGAAGGACUGGGAAGAACAGCAGGAACAAGGAGCAAGAGAAGUUAAAAAACACCAACUACUCAACAGCAUAGAUGACAGAACAGUAAGAGAUCUUCGCUUGUCAACCUGUACCAGUGCCAAUGACAUUUUCAGAGUUCUUCAUAAUCACUUUGGCAACAAGACCUGUGUGAAUGAAGAGACUUCUAAACCAAGGCAUGAUUCAACACAAAAUGGAACCACAGUGUCAUCCAGUCUUUCCCCAGGUUGUGUCAUCUGCGGGGAUAACAAGCAUAGUAAACGACUGUAUUUCUGCAAACGAUUCCAAGGACUCAAAAUAUCAGAGAAGAAAGAUGCUGUAAGAAAAUUGGGGGCAUGUAUAAAGUGCCUCGAUAUCCACAGUGAGCAUGACAAUUGCAAAGAAGAAUUUUUCUGUAAUCGAACAGAAUGCAGCAAAAGCAAAGAGCAUCACUUCCUGCUGUGUCCCAGACCUGUUCCAAAGACCAGGGUCAGUGCAGUUGGAGGUGACAGUAAUAAGAGUUACACAGAAGCCCAGAAAGAGUUUGUUAAAAAACUCCCUUCAGGACGUGCCAAAGAAAACAACCAUGUUUUUAGCAACUCCAUGACCAAAACCUCCAAUGCAACAAGCAACCAGUCUGCUGGAGAAUGGUUUGGAGGAGUUUCCCGUGAAAAUGAUGCUGCUCGAGGUAACGGCCAACGAUGGGUAAAAGAUUGGCAAGCUCACCGACCUGGCGCCAGAUACAAAUCAUAUAACUCACAGUCCAGCCAAAAACCUCAACCUCAAAAGUGAAGACAUCAUAUUUAUGGACCAUGUUGUUGGAGGUGAAUCCCAGGCUAAUACAAAGUGCUUCUACCUCCUGAGAAUCCAGGUCUAUGCCUAAAAUGGUGCAUUCAAACUAUUGCUGUUAAUCUGCUACAGAAGUGACAAAAAACCCACAGUGGACUAUAUUCUGUCUUUGAAUGAAAUGCUAAAAUAUAUAGCAAAAACCUGUGGACUGAGGGAUCACACUUGCCAAAAAUAUUGCAAAGAGUUGUGGUUAAAACAAAUAUGAUUAAAACUACAUUUGAUGAAGAAUGUUUGCUAAAAUAUAAAAUACUGAAAGUUUGACUUGACUAUAAUACGUUAUGGUAAGACUGAAGAACUGUUGUGAGUUUAAAAAUAAUUUUGGGUUAAUGCUGGUUGAAAAACCUUACCCUUGUUACAUUUACCUUGCCCGUAAAUGGGCAAGGCAAUAAAAACGUC
ensembl:lncRNA